rnacentral:lncRNA from 1 species
ACAUUGCUAUUCUGAGAGGAAUAAAGCUGAAAUUGCUCACCUGAAGGAGGCAAGAAUCCCAUUGAUUUCAGCUGCUAGAGGGUGCUGUCCUGAAGGGAACCACCCCAUAGUAGGCCUUUCUCUCAUCUGAUACUGCCUAUGACAAGCAGUUGCACUCAAAGUGGGAAGUUCAAGUCUUGUGAUACCAUCCCCUUCCUCACCAGCCAGCAGAGAGAUAUGUAAACUGCAGAGGAGAAAUGUGCCUCCCCGGAGCUGCAGCCAAACUCACCGUGUCUCUGGGGACCAUCAAAGGUGCAGGUAUGCUCUCACAGUGGAACAAACUGAGUGUGAACCCGCCUUUUGCCCACAUGGUGAAGGUGGUGGUGCACACCUCUUCUCGUGCUGCCUGGAGUGGACAGCGGAGGAAGAGCCAAGACUCCAGGUGAUCUGGACGUAAAUCAAAAAAUGUUGUUCAGGAUCCAAGCUGAAUAGUUCGGGUUUUAAUACAAUAUUUCAGUGUGAAACCAAAACAAAUGUUAAACCUUGGAAGCUGUAUAAAAUUGAAUUGUCAUUAUCUAGUCAGUUUUUGUUUUAAGCACCUUGAAUUGUAGUGAAGACAAUAAGAAAUGAAAAUGCUCAACUAUUUCAGGAUUCAGCCUAUAGCAGUGUAGGACACACUCAGCACAGGCUGUUGAUUGUAGCCAUCCUUCACGGCAGUCAUUCAUUAUAUAAUUUCAAAGGUAACUUAAACAUGUGCCAGAAACUUUGGAGAGACUAGUCCUUGGUGAAAUGGGCUCUGGACCAAAUCUUUACUUUAAUGAUAAUGCUUUAGAAUAAAAUAUUUUUUGGUUCAGAACA